UUCUUCGUUACGUUUUGAGUGAAAAAUUGUGAGCUAGAAUCAUAAAUGUUGCCCAUGCUAUUUGGAGUAUGAGCAUUCCCCUAACAAUGUCAUAAUGCAAAUAAUCGAUACAAUUGUACACCAAAUUUUACAUAGUAACUUAUAUUAGGAGGGGAAAAAUAAUUAACAUAAAAUGGUCUAUACUAGUUAUGGAAUGAAAUAUGAUUAGCACAUGAAAGUGCUAGGGAUGUUUUCUUUUCAUGCGAUUGUUAAAAUUUAAUUAAAAAUGGUGGCUCAAUAUAACACAUCAAAGAGAGCCUAUUGAUGUUUUUAUGUUUGAUACCAAAAGAUCAAUGUGUGUUGUAAAAAUUGUCGAUAAAGUUGUUUUUCUUUCUUUUAUUUAGCUAUUCUAGUACAAGAU
rnacentral:lncRNA from 1 species